GACGAACGCUGGCGGCGUGCUUAACACAUGCAAGUCGAACGGAAAGGCCCUGCUUUUGUGGGGUGCUCGAGUGGCGAACGGGUGAGUAACACGUGAGUAACCUGCCCUUGACUUUGGGAUAACUUCAGGAAACUGGGGCUAAUACCGGAUAGGAGCUCCUGCUGCAUGGUGGGGGUUGGAAAGUUUCGGCGGUUGGGGAUGGACACGCGGCUUAUCAGCUUGUUGGUGGGGUAGUGGCUUACCAAGGCUUUGACGGGUAGCCGGCCUGAGAGGGUGACCGGCCACAUUGGGACUGAGAUACGGCCCAGACUCCUACGGGAGGCAGCAGUGGGGAAUAUUGCACAAUGGGCGGAAGCCUGAUGCAGCAACGCCGCGUGCGGGAUGACGGCCUUCGGGUUGUAAACCGCUUUCGCCUGUGACGAAGCGUGAGUGACGGUAAUGGGUAAAGAAGCACCGGCGAACUACGU
rnacentral:rRNA from 1 species